rnacentral:rRNA from 1 species
AAUGAACGCUGGCGGCAUGCCUUACACAUGCAAGUCGAACGGCAGCAUGACCUAGCUUGCUAGGUUGAUGGCGAGUGGCGAACGGGUGAGUAAUGCAUCGGAACGUGCCUUUUAGUGGGGGAUAACGUAGCGAAAGUUACGCUAAUACCGCAUAUUCUCUGAGGAGGAAAGCAGGGGACCUUCGGGCCUUGCGCUAGAAGAGCGGCCGAUGUCGGAUUAGCUAGUUGGUGAGGUAAAGGCUCACCAAGGCAACGAUCCGUAGCGGGUCUGAGAGGAUGAUCCGCCACACUGGGACUGGGACAAGGCCCAGACUCCUACGGGAGGCAGCAGUGGGGAAUUUUGGACAAAGGGCGCAAGCCUGAUCCAGCCAUGCCGCGUGAGUGAAGAAGGCCUUCGGGUUGUAAAGCUCUUUCGGCUGGGAAGAAAUCGCACCCUCUAAUACAGGGUGUGGAUGACGGUACCAGCAUAAGAAGCACCGGCUAACUACGUG